AGUACGCUGGCGGUAUGCCAACAGAUGAAAGUCGAGACGAGAGUUAUACUUGAGGUUGCGGACGGGUGAGUAUAUCAGAAUCUACCUUUAGCGAAGGGAAUAACAAUUGGAAACGAUUGCUAAUGCCCUAUAUGCUUAGCAGUGAAACAGAUGAUCUGCCUGAAGAUGAGCUCGCGCCUGAUUAGCUAGUUGGUAGAGUAAAAGCCUACCAAGGCAACGAUCAGUAGCUGGUUUGAGAGGACGAUCAGCCACACUGGGACUGAGACACGGCCCAGACUUCUACGGAAGGCAGCAGUGGGGAAUUUUCCGCAAUGAGCGAAAGCUUGACGGAGCAAUACCGCGUGAGGGAAGAAUGCCUGUGGGUUGUAAACCUCUUUUUUUAGGGAAGAAAAUAUGACGGUACCUACAGAAUAAGCAUCGGCUAACUCCGUGCCAGCAGCCGCGGUAAUACGGGGGAUGCAAGCGUUAUCCGGAAUUACUGGGCGUAAAGCGUCUGCAGGUGGCUUUAAAAGUCUGCUGUUAAAUAUUAGAGCUCAACUCUGAGUAAGCAGUGGAAACUGUUAGGCUAGAGUAUGGUAUGGGUAAAGGGAACUCCCAGUGUAGCGGUGAAAUGCGUAGAUAUUGGAGAAGAACACCAUAAGCGAAAGCGCUUUACUAAGACCAUUACUGACACUCAGAGACGAAAGCUAGGGGAGCAAU
rnacentral:rRNA from 1 species